rnacentral:rRNA from 1 species
AACGAACGCUGGCGGCAGGCUUAACACAUGCAAGUCGAGCGCCCCGCAAGGGGAGCGGCAGACGGGUGAGUAACGCGUGGGAAUCUACCCAGCUCUACGGAAUAACUCAGGGAAACUUGUGCUAAUACCGUAUACGUCCGAUAGGAGAAAGAUUUAUCGGAGUUGGAUGAGCCCGCGUUGGAUUAGCUAGUUGGUGGGGUAAUGGCCUACCAAGGCGACGAUCCAUAGCUGGUCUAAGAGGAUGAUCAGCCACACUGGGACUGAGACACGGCCCAGACUCCUACGGGAGGCAGCAGUGGGGAAUAUUGGACAAUGGGCGCAAGCCUGAUCCAGCCAUGCCGCGUGAGUGAUGAAGGCCCUAGGGUUGUAAAGCUCUUUCACCGGUGAAGAUAAUGACGGUAACCGGAGAAGAAGCCCCGGCUAACUUCGUGCCAGCAGCCGCGGUAAU